AUCUGGAUAGCUUAAGAAGAGCAGUACAUUGAAGAUGUAAAGGUGGACACUCUCCAAAUA
rnacentral:tRNA from 1 species